GUGCUCACAUAGGCAGCACAUAUACUAAAAUCAGAACGAUACAAAAAGAUUAGCAUGGCCUCUGAGCAAAGAUGACACACAAAAUUGGUGAAGCGCUCCAUAUUUUU
ensembl:snRNA U6 U6 spliceosomal RNA